rnacentral:rRNA from 1 species
CAGCCGCCGCGGUAAUACGGAGGGGGCUAGCGUUGUUCGGAAUUACUGGGCGUAAAGCGCACGUAGGCUGCUUUGUAAGUCAGAGGUGAAAGCCCGGGGCUCAACCCCAGAUGUGCCUUUGAGACUGCAGGGCUAGAACGUCGGAGAGGUGAGUGGAAUUCCGAGUGUAGAGGUGAAACUCGUAGAUAUUCGGAAGAACACCAGUGGCGAAGGCGGCUCACUGGACGACUGUUGACGCUGAGGUGCGAAAGCGUGGGGAGCAAACAGGAUUAGAUACCCCUGUAGUCCCUGUCUCUUAUAC